rnacentral:rRNA from 1 species
AAUGAACGCUGGCGGCAGGCCUAACACAUGCAAGUCGAACGGGUCCUUCGGGACUAGUGGCGGACGGGUGAGUAACGCGUGGGAACGUGCCCUUUGCUUCGGAAUAGCCCCGGGAAACUGGGAGUAAUACCGGAUGUGCCCUUUGGGGGAAAGAUUUAUCGGCAAAGGAUCGGCCCGCGUUGGAUUAGGUAGUUGGUGGGGUAAUGGCCUACCAAGCCGACGAUCCAUAGCUGGUUUGAGAGGAUGAUCAGCCACACUGGGACUGAGACACGGCCCAGACUCCUACGGGAGGCAGCAGUGGGGAAUCUUAGACAAUGGGGGAAACCCUGAUCUAGCCAUGCCGCGUGAUCGAUGAAGGCCUUAGGGUUGUAAAGAUCUUUCAGCUGGGAAGAUAAUGACUGUACCAGCAGAAGAAGCCCCGGCUAACUCCGUG